UACGGAGGGUGCAAGCGUUAAUCGGAAUUACUGGGCGUAAAGCGUGCGUAGGCGGUUAUGUAAGUCGGGUGUGAAAGCCCCGGGCUCAACUUGGGAAUUGCAUUCGAGACUGCAUAGCUAGGGUGCGGAAGAGGGAAGCGGAAUUUCCGGUGUAGCGGUGAAAUGCGUAGAUAUCGGAAGGAACACCAGUGGCGAAAGCGGCUUCCUGGUCCAGCACCGACGUUCAGGCACGAAAGCGUGGGGAGCAAACAGG
rnacentral:rRNA from 1 species